GCCCCCAUAGCUCAGUUGGUAGAGCAUUCGCCUAGAUAGCGAAAGGCCAAAUGUUAUGUUGGAUUGAAUAUUAAGGGCA
rnacentral:tRNA from 1 species